rnacentral:sRNA from 1 species
CUUGCCGCCGGACGGAACGGGCAGCGAGGGUUGGGGAACCCGAUGACCUGCCGGUCUCCGAGAGCCGCUCGGGUCUUAGGGAGCCCGAACUGUUCGCUCCGACGAAGGAG